UUAUUUUUAUGUAUGUAAUCAGCAAUCAGAGAUCAGUGAAUUCAGUUUCUAAUCAUGUUCAUUGUGGAAAUGUGUUUGUACUUUAUAGUGAGAGAGCGAGAUGGGCCUCAUCAAUUCCACAUCUAUUGCGAGAGAGCAAAAGCUGCAGGACCUGCAUCUCAAAUUGAUGGACAUAAUUCAAGAGCUGCGGGACCUGCGUCCCACAUGUAUGUAUGA